CCAUUUGCAUCCCGCCUGCGGCUCACCUAUAUAGGUCUUGCCCGCAAGGGCUACGGCAAUAAAUGGUCAUUGUAAUAAACCCAUCGGACCCGGGGGCAGUACCCGGCGUCUCCACCAUCUCCCCUCUCUCGGGAGGAGCCAAUGGGGACGAAACAGGAUCGACGAGGGCGUAAAGAGUGUGCUUUUGCUCGGUGAGGUACCACCGUUAUCGGUCCGAAACUUAUAGUUGCUAAUGACAACCAUAAGGCUCCGGUCGCUCUCGCCGCGUAAGCGGUGCUAGCACUGGGAAUCUAAGUCCUCCGCUCCUAGCCGGGCGACAGGCGGGGUCCGCAGGCACCUGGCAACAGAAGCCUGCACU
rfam:Pelagibacterium sp. SCN 63-23 ABS75_C0033, whole genome shotgun sequence.